rnacentral:rRNA from 1 species
AUAUUUUGAUUAAAGUGGCGCACGGGUGAGUAACACGUAAGCAAUCUACCCUUAGAUACGGAAUAACUUCGCGAAAGCGGAACUAAUACCAUAUAAUGCAGCGGCAUCGCAUGAUGAUGUUGUUAAAGUUGCUUCGGUAACGUCUAUGGAUGAGCUUGCGACUGAUUAGUUUGUUGGUGAGGUAACGGCUCACCAAGACUGCGAUCAGUAGCUGGUCUGAGAGGAUGAUCAGCCACACUGGAACUGAGACACGGUCCAGACUCCUACGGGAGGCAGCAGUGAGGAAUAUUGGGCAAUGGGCGAAAGCCUGACCCAGCAACGCCGCGUGGAGGAUGAAUGUCGUAAGAUUGUAAACUCCUGUUANAUGGGAANAAUACCGAUUCUAAGGGUUACGGUCUGACUGUCCUCAAAAAAGCCCCGGCUAACUACUGCCANCANCCCGGUAUACNUAGGGGCNACCUUNUCCGAUUUCUGGUGNAAGGCCCCCNCCGNUUNUA